UACGAAGGGGGCUAGCGUUGCUCGGAAUUACUGGGCGGAAAGCGCACGUAGGCGGCUUUCUAAGUCGGGGGUGAAAUCCUGGAGCUCAACUCCAGAACUGCCUUCGAUACUGGAGAGCUCGAGUCCGGGAGAGGUGAGUGGAACUGCGAGUGUAGAGGUGAAAUUCGUAGAUAUUCGCAAGAACACCAGUGGCGAAGGCGGCUCACUGGCCCGGUACUGACGCUGAGGUGCGAAAGCGUGGGGAGCAAACAGG
rnacentral:rRNA from 1 species